CAGCCUCGAUCCGUCACAGCAUGCCUCGUCUGACACUGAUUUUCUUCAAAACUGUGCUCAACUGGAGAACAGCAAAGCCUAGCAGGAGAGCCAGACCAGCUCCUGGAGCUCACAAGCUGUUUUUCUCCUUCUUGAAGCGUUUCCUUAGGGCUCUGGAGUUAAAGUUGAUGUGGCUGAGAUCUGAAGCUUACUAACGAAGACCGAGUGGAUGAGAGAGAGAGAAAAGAAGGAGGUGGGAAUGGCUAUGGGACCCGUGGCACCUCCCCAGGCCGGUGGCAGGACCCGUGACACCUCCCCUGGCCAGGCUCCUGAGUCCCCUAGGAGCCACAGCAGACUACGGAGAAUUCACAGGU